GACGAACCGUGCGAACGUUGUUCGGAAUCACUGGGCUUAAAGGGCGCGUAGGCGGGUUCGCAAGUCUGUCGUGAAAGCCUCCAGCUUAACUGGAGAAGUGCCGUGGAUACUGCGAAUCUUGAGGAGGGUAGGGGCGUCUGGAACGGUCGGUGGAGCGGUGAAAUGCGUAGAUAUCGGAAGGAACAUCGGUGGCGAAAGCGGCGCGCUGGAUCCCUUCUGACGCUGAGGCGCGAAAGCCAGGGGAGCGAACGGG
rnacentral:rRNA from 1 species